CCUACGGGGUGCAGCAGUGGGGAAUAUUGCACAAUGGGGGAAACCCUGAUGCAGCGACGCCGCGUGAGUGAAGAAGUAAUUCGUUAUGUAAAGCUCUAUCAGCAGGGAAGAAAAUGACGGUACCUGAGUAAGAAGACCCGGCCAACUCCGUGUCAGCAGCCGCGGGAAUACGUUGGGGGAAAGCGUUAGCCGGAUUUACUGGGGGUAAAGGGAGCGGAGACGGCAGUGUAAGUCUGGAGUGAAAGGCGCGGGCUCAACCCCCGGACUGCUCUGGAAACUGUACGGCUGGAGUGCAGGAGAGGUAAGUGGAAUUCCUAGUGUAGCGGUGAAAUGCGUAGAUAUUAGGAGGAACACCAGUGGCGAAGGCGGCUUACUGGACUGUAACUGACGUUGAGGCUCGAAAGCGUGGGGAGCAAACAGGAUUAGAUACCCGAGUAGUC
rnacentral:rRNA from 1 species